GGUGAACGCUGGCGGCAGGCCUAACACAUGCAAGUCGAACGGCAGCACCGUAAGAUCUUGCUCUUACGGGUGGCGAGUGGCGGACGUGAGACGAAUACAUCCUACUCUACUCUCUCGUGGGGGCUAUCGUAGGGAAACCUACGCCAAUACCGCAUACGACCUACGGGUGACAGCAGCGGAUCUUCGGACCUUGCGCGAAUGAAUGCGCCGAUGUCGAAUUAGCUAGUUGGCGGGGUACAGGCCCACCCAGCCGACGAUCCGUAGCUCGUCUGAGAGAAUGAUCGGCGACACGGGAAGUGGGACACGGUCCAGGGUCCUGCGAGAGGGAGCAGUGUGGAAUAUUGGACAGUGGGCGCAAGCCUGGUCCAGCCAUACCACGUGGGUGAAGAAGGCCUUCGGGUUGUAAAGCCCUUUUGUUGGGAAAGAAAAGCUGCAGGUUGAUACCCCGCUGUUCUGACGGUACCCAAAGAAUAAGCACCGGCUAACUUCGUG
rnacentral:rRNA from 1 species